CAAGUUACUUCAUUUUAAUUGAUUAUUUUCUAAAUAAACAUUAAAAUUUACAAUGAACUCUUUGCCAUUAAAACAUUGAUUAUUAUGUGCCAUCUUGUCUGAUUAACUCUUUACAUGUAGACCAUUUCCAAAGUUAAUGAAAUUAAGGGUUAAAAAAAAAACAUUAAAAUUUAAAAUUAAUUUAUGAUAUCUCAGAAGACCCCC
rnacentral:lncRNA from 1 species